rnacentral:rRNA from 1 species
GUCCACGCCGUAAACGGUGGGCGCUAGUUGUGCGAACCUUCCACGGUUUGUGCGACGCAGCUAACGCAUUAAGCGCCCCGCCUGGGGAGGUACGAUCGCAAGAUUAAACUACAAGGAAUUGACGGGGCCCCGGCACAAGCAGCGGAGCAUGCGGCUUAAUUCGACGCAACGCGAAGAACCUUACCCAAGGCUUGACAUAUACAGGGAAUACGGCAGAGAUGUCGUAGCCGCAAGGUCUGUAUACAGGUUGUGCAUGGUUGUCGU